CAGAGUUCAUGCCCUCACGGGUAGAUCUCCCACCCUUGAAUAUUAUACUUGUGUUGCUUUGGCGAGGCUAGUUGGGUAAUACCUCCUGGCCCGCCAGAAGACCUUAAUUCUGAAUUGUCGUAUUGUCUGAUUACUAUAUAAUAGUUA
rnacentral:misc_RNA from 1 species